CCUCUUGCAUCACCCUGUUGGUUCAUAGAUAAGUAUGAUUCAGCUCAGUCUAUUCAGUGCACUGUAUUCUUUCUUUUUUUAUCAUGCCUGGUUUCUGGAUUGACUAGAAGAAUUAUAUCAUAUAGGCAUACUACCAUUUGGAAGCUUUGGGGUCGACACUCCUGCUCACUCAUUCUUUAAUAAAACAUUUUUUUGCAUUUUAGACAAUCUCAAGAAUGAUACAAAUUGUUCUGCAGAAGAAAGUAAGUCAUACAGAUUUGGAACAAAAUGAAGACUCGGUGCAGCUGUGGACCUCUUCACCUCAGCCUGGUACUCGAGGUCUGCACCCCUGCAUGACGAACAAUGGAGGUAUUAGAAGGCCCUGUUAAGCUGCAGCCCUCUUCAAACAGGCAGCCAGCAUGGUACCAGAUCCAAGCCCUCAGCAGCUGUGCUAACCCCCAUUCACUUCACUGACACAAAUCCCCGUUCUCCAUCCCAAAGACUGCUUAAUGCAGGGCUCUCUCAAGUGAAAAGAGUGUUUCUUAUGUCUUUAUUAUCUCAGAAAAAGGACACACAGAUUCUUUUUGUGCCAGUACACUUUCAUUUGCCAUAGGCAAGCAAUCUCUCUCUCUCUCUCUCUUUUUUUUUUUUUUUUUUUUUUUUUUGAAAAGGGUAGAGAAAGGGGGUUUUAUAACAAGCCUGUAGCAGAGUGAGCAGGUCUCACAACCUGAAACUUCUUAUGUUUCACUGCCUCUUUUCCUGGUAUCUGACGCUGGGCUGCCCAGUCUCCAUGGUAAUUAGACUGAAAAUCCUCCAGUACCGGGCCCCUGCAUAAAACUCUCUUUGAUGGUGAACCUGAUUUCCUCAACAUGUUUUUUUUUGUUUUGUUUUUUUUGGCUAAGUUGGCUUAUGCCCACAUCGGUCAUUGGAUUUUGACCUAACGUACCAACACACUUGUGACACUAUGCCCUGUGCUGGUGCACAGAAACCAAUUGGAUAUGCCCUUAUAAAUCAUCACCCACAUCCUUCUGAGGAGAGUGGAAAAAUAAAAUAGCAGGCAGGCCUGUAGCCCUGGGAGGGAGGAGGCACAACUGGAAUGCAUUCUGCCGAAGAACAGGGGAUAUUAAAUACAUAGCAGCAGCUGGAAGUGUUCAGAUACUCAGAAGAAAUGUUGCAGUGGAUUGGUAGAAGCUAUAACAGAUAAUGACUGCAUUACAUUGAUCUUAAUCAAUAUUAUUAUGCGGAAUCCCUGAUAUAUAGAUCACAUGCACUGUAAACCCAGACAAAAAUACACUUUCAGAUAUAGUUUUUAAAAAGUGUUUAUCGAUUUGAUACAUUUCUCCAAACUCAGGUCACUGUUCUCAAAACAGUUAACACAGUGAUCUGAAUAGUUAAUGUAAUUUUCUAAAAAUAUGUUUUUUUAAUUAUUAAAAUGAUAAUUUUUUUAAGUAUUUGAAUGUACGGUGGUUUCCGGCUCCUUCUUCCCACACAACAAACUUUGUUAGAUUGUCUUUAAUAAUAAAAUAAACAAACAAAAAAUGAAAGUAAAGUGGCAGCACCUCUCGUACGACUGCCACAGACAAAACACAAAAUAAAAUCCAGGCCUGGUCCUCUUUCGUCUUUCAGAGUCGUUUACUCCUCCUUUUAUCCUUCCGGAGCUCCUCUGUGGGACUCAAGACCGGUGAGAGGUGCAGGUGUCACUCAUUAUUAAUUACUCCACCGGCCUCGCUGCGUUCCCAGAGCCCAAAUUAAUAUUUACUUUUAAUAAAUGCUUUAAAUAAAAACACAUUUUUCCUCAUAUUCUCAGAAUAAAUGUAUUGUAUUUAUAUAGCCCAAUUAUAUUGUUUAGCUAAAAAUAUGAUACUGUAUAUACUGUAUUAAAUAUAUAAAAUAAAUAACAUGUAUUUUCAAAAUUUUAAAUAAAAUGAAAAAAAUUGCCUUAUGCCUUUAUAUUG